UACGAAGGGGGCUAGCGUUGUUCGGAAUCACUGGGCGGAAAGGGCGCGUAGGCGGCUUUAUAAGUCGGGGGUGAAAGCCUGUGGCUCAACCACAGAAUUGCCUUCGAUACUGUAGAGCUUGAGACCGGAAGAGGUAAGUGGAACUGCGAGUGUAGAGGUGAAAUUCGUAGAUAUUCGCAAGAACACCAGUGGCGAAGGCGGCUUACUGGUCCGGUUCUGACGCUGAGGCGCGAAAGCGUGGGGAGCAAACAGG
rnacentral:rRNA from 1 species